rnacentral:rRNA from 1 species
GAUUAAGUUAUUAAGGGCGCACGGUGGACGCCUUGGCACUAGAAGCCGAUGAAGGACGUUACUAACGACGAUAUGCUUUGGGGAGCUGUAAGUAAGCUUUGAUCCAGAGAUUUCCGAAUGGGGAAACCCAGCAUGAGUUAUGUCAUGUUAUCGAUAUGUGAAUACAUAGCAUAUCAGAAGGCACACCCGGAGAACUGAAACAUCUUAGUACCCGGAGGAAGAGAAAGAAAAUUCGAUUCCCUUAGUAGCGGCGAGCGAAACGGGAAGAGCCCAAACCAACAAGCUUGCUUGUUGGGGUUGUAGGACACUCUAUACGGAGUUACAAAGGACGACAUUAGACGAAUCAUCUGGAAAGAUGAAUCAAAGAAGGUAAUAAUCCUGUAGUCGAAAAUGUUGUCUCUCUUGAGUGGAUCCUGAGUACGACGGAGCACGUGAAAUUCCGUCGGAAUUUGGGAGGACCAUCUCCUAAGGCUAAAUACUCUCUAGUGACCGAUAGCGAACCAGUACCGUGAGGGAAAGGUGAAAAGCACCCCGGAAGGGGAGUGAAAUAGAACCUGAAACCGUGUGCUUACAAGUAGUCAGAGCCCGUUAAUGGGUGAUGGCGUGCCUUUUGUAGAAUGAACCGGCGAGUUACGAUUUGAUGCAAGGUUAAGCAGUAAAUGUGGAGCCGUAGCGAAAGCGAGUCUGAAUAGGGCGUUUAGUAUUUGGUCGUAGACCCGAAACCAGGUGAUCUACCCUUGGUCAGGUUGAAGUUCAGGUAACACUGAAUGGAGGACCGAACCGACUUACGUUGAAAAGUGAGCGGAUGAACUGAGGGUAGCGGAGAAAUUCCAAUCGAACCUGGAGAUAGCUGGUUCUCUCCGAAAUAGCUUUAGGGCUAGCCUCAAGUGAUGAUUAUUGGAGGUAGAGCACUGUUUGGACGAGGGGCCCCUCUCGGGUUACCGAAUUCAGACAAACUCCGAAUGCCAAUUAAUUUAACUUGGGAGUCAGAACAUGGGUGAUAAGGUCCGUGUUCGAAAGGGAAACAGCCCAGACCACCAGCUAAGGUCCCAAAAUAUAUGUUAAGUGGAAAAGGAUGUGGCGUUGCCCAGACAACUAGGAUGUUGGCUUAGAAGCAGCCAUCAUUUAAAGAGUGCGUAAUAGCUCACUAGUCGAGUGACACUGCGCCGAAAAUGUACCGGGGCUAAACAUAUUACCGAAGCUGUGGAUUGUCCUUUGGACAAUGGUAGGAGAGCGUUCUAAGGGCGUUGAAGCAUGAUCGUAAGGACAUGUGGAGCGCUUAGAAGUGAGAAUGCCGGUGUGAGUAGCGAAAGACGGGUGAGAAUCCCGUCCACCGAUUGACUAAGGUUUCCAGAGGAAGGCUCGUCCGCUCUGGGUUAGUCGGGUCCUAAGCUGAGGCCGACAGGCGUAGGCGAUGGAUAACAGGUUGAUAUUCCUGUACCACCUAUAAUCGUUUUAAUCGAUGGGGGGACGCAGUAGGAUAGGCGAAGCGUGCGAUUGGAUUGCACGUCUAAGCAGUAAGGCUGAGUAUUAGGCAAAUCCGGUACUCAUUAAGGCUGAGCUGUGAUGGGGAGAAGACAUUGUGUCUUCGAGUCGUUGAUUUCACACUGCCGAGAAAAGCCUCUAGAUAGAAAAUAGGUGCCCGUACCGCAAACCGACACAGGUAGUCAAGAUGAGAAUUCUAAGGUGAGCGAGCGAACUCUCGUUAAGGAACUCGGCAAAAUGACCCCGUAACUUCGGGAGAAGGGGUGCUCUUUAGGGUUAACGCCCAGAAGAGCCGCAGUGAAUAGGCCCAAGCGACUGUUUAUCAAAAACACAGGUCUCUGCUAAACCGUAAGGUGAUGUAUAGGGGCUGACGCCUGCCCGGUGCUGGAAGGUUAAGAGGAGUGGUUAGCUUCUGCGAAGCUACGAAUCGAAGCCCCAGUAAACGGCGGCCGUAACUAUAACGGUCCUAAGGUAGCGAAAUUCCUUGUCGGGUAAGUUCCGACCCGCACGAAAGGCGUAACGAUUUGGGCACUGUCUCAACGAGAGACUCGGUGAAAUCAUAGUACCUGUGAAGAUGCAGGUUACCCGCGACAGGACGGAAAGACCCCGUGGAGCUUUACUGUAGCCUGAUAUUGAAAUUCGGCACAGCUUGUACAGGAUAGGUAGGAGCCUUUGAAACGUGAGCGCUAGCUUACGUGGAGGCGCUGGUGGGAUACUACCCUAGCUGUGUUGGCUUUCUAACCCGCACCACUUAUCGUGGUGGGAGACAGUGUCAGGCGGGCAGUUUGACUGGGGCGGUCGCCUCCUAAAAGGUAACGGAGGCGCUCAAAGGUUCCCUCAGAAUGGUUGGAAAUCAUUCAUAGAGUGUAAAGGCAUAAGGGAGCUUGACUGCGAGACCUACAAGUCGAGCAGGGUCGAAAGACGGACUUAGUGAUCCGGUGGUUCCGCAUGGAAGGGCCAUCGCUCAACGGAUAAAAGCUACCCCGGGGAUAACAGGCUUAUCUCCCCCAAGAGUUCACAUCGACGGGGAGGUUUGGCACCUCGAUGUCGGCUCAUCGCAUCCUGGGGCUGUAGUCGGUCCCAAGGGUUGGGCUGUUCGCCCAUUAAAGCGGUACGCGAGCUGGGUUCAGAACGUCGUGAGACAGUUCGGUCCCUAUCCGUCGUGGGCGUAGGAAAUUUGAGAGGAGCUGUCCUUAGUACGAGAGGACCGGGAUGGACAUACCUCUGGUGUACCAGUUGUCGUGCCAACGGCAUAGCUGGGUAGCUAUGUGUGGACGGGAUAAGUGCUGAAAGCAUCUAAGCAUGAAGCCCCCCUCAAGAUGAGAUUUCCCAACUUCGGUUAUAAGAUCCCUCAAAGAUGAUGAGGUUAAUAGGUUCGAGGUGGAAGCAUGGUGACAUGUGGAGCUGACGAAUACUAAUCGAUCGAAGACUUAAUCAA